rfam:Daucus carota subsp. sativus cultivar DH1 chromosome 6, whole genome shotgun sequence.
GCCUGUGAUGUUUCAAUCCACUAGCACGAGGUGUGGUGUAUCCAGGACCCUGUUUACAGGGAGAACCACCUGGUGAAGCUACAUUUCAAAUGAUAUUAUCGGAUUUUACUGAGGC